rnacentral:lncRNA from 1 species
CUCGGGCCUGCCGCCGGCACCGGGCAGCCGGAGCGGGACGGCGCCGGUGGGAGCCCGGAGGGAGCCCGGGGCCUCCCGAGGCCCGGCCUCGGGUGUCUGUGGCCGGGGCUCAGCGCCCGCCGGGCCCCCUGGGCUCGCAGUGCUGGGCUGGUGCGGGGAGUGGGGCUGCAGAAAAAAUCAGUGGUUGGUGGAAUCAGGCAUGUCCUUUAUCUACAGAGUGCAAAGGCUGGUUUGCAGGUCCACUGCUCCCUGCUUUUACUCUCCGUUUGACGUUUCUAACUGUUUCCCUUUGGCAGAUCACGAGUGGCUUCUGCUUCCAGAAAUGCAGAGAUAUUUCUAUCUAAUUGUACCCUGCCACCCAGCUUCAGUUUCUUGGUGCUGUGUUUUGGGCUGUGAUUUCAUGUCUUUCACCUUACUCCAGACAGAAGCAUAACUGCUCCUACCUUUGUAGAAGAACCUGUGAAGGCUGAUAACCAGUUGCAUAACCUUCAAAGAAGUUUAAUCCCAACAUCCAUUAUUCUUCUGUAUUAUAUUCACAAGCACUAAAUGGUGAUAUAUGUAUUUAACAGGCCCUUCUAAAUUUCAAACUUGUAUAUACUCAGAAUUUAUAUUAUCAUAUUUCCCUAACUUAUUUUGGAAGAAGUUCCAUUUAAUUGAAAAACAAGUCUUUUCUAUUGCUUUUUGUGAUAUCUUACAGAAUUCUCUAUCUCUCACAAUUUUAUAUUACAUGGAGUAAGCUGGUUGAAAACAUAACAUCAUCAUUUUUUGAAUUCUGUAUUCAUUUCUGUUAAUUUAAGUUCUGUGAUACUCUAGAGUUAUUUUAUGGAAGUCCACGCUUUUUUUUUUCUAGGUAAAUUACAAUUAACAUUUUUAAAAGUAAAAUAAAUACCUAGUUAGUGUUACCA